UGGGGAAUUUUGGACAAUGGGGGCAACCCUGAUCCAGCAAUGCCGCGUGAGUGAAGAAGGCCUUCGGGUUGUAAAGCUCUUUUGUCAGGGAAGAAAUCCUUAGUACUAAUAAUGCUGGGGGAUGACGGUACCUGAAGAAUAAGCACCGGCUAACUACGUGCCAGCAGCCGCGGUAAUACGUAGGGUGCAAGCGUUAAUCGGAAUUACUGGGCGUAAAGCGUGCGCAGGCGGCCUGUUAAGUCAGAUGUGAAAUCCCCGAGCUCAACUUGGGAACUGCAUUUGAAACUGAUAGGCUAGAGUGUGUCAGAGGGAGGUAGAAUUCCACGUGUAGCAGUGAAAUGCGUAGAGAUGUGGAGGAAUACCAGUGGCGAAGGCGGCCUCCUGGGAUAACACUGACGCU
rnacentral:rRNA from 1 species